rnacentral:rRNA from 1 species
AUACGAAAGGUGCAAGCGUUGUUCGGAUUUACUGGGCGUAAAGAGAGUGUAGGUUGUUUAUUAAGUCGGAUGUGAAAUCCCCGGGCUCAACCUCGGAACUGCAUUCGAUACUGGUAGACUAGAGUUCGGGAGGGGUAAGCGGAAUUCCGUGUGUAGCAGUGAAAUGCGUAGAUAUACGGAGGAACACCUGAGGCGAAGGCGGCUUACUGGACCGAUACUGACACUGAGACUCGAAAGCGUGGGUAGCAAACAGGAUUAGAAACCCUAGUAGUCC